rnacentral:rRNA from 1 species
UAGAGUNCAGUAGGGGAGACUGGAAUUCCUGGUGUAGCGGUGGAAUGCGCAGAUAUCAGGAGGAACACCGAUGGCGAAGGCAGGUNUCUGGGCUGUAACUGACGCUGAGAAGCGAAAGCAUGGGGAGCGAACAGGAUUAGAUACCCUGGUAGUNCAUGCCGUAAACGUUGGGCACUAGGUGUGGGGGACAUUCCACGUUUUCCGCGCCGUAGCUAACGCAUUAAGUGCCCCGCCUGGGGAGUACGGCCGCAAGGCUAAAACUCAAAGAAAUUGACGGGGGCCCGCACAAGCGGCGGAGCAUGCGGAUUAAUUCGAUGCAACGCGAAGAACCUUACCAAGGCUUGACAUAUACUGGACUGCGUCAGAGAUGGCGUUUCCCUUCGGGGCUGGUAUACAGGUGGUGCAUGGUUAUCGUCAGCUCGUGUCGUGAGAUGUUGGGUUAAGUCCCGCAACGAGCGCAACCCUCGUUCUAUGUUGCCAGCACGUGAUGGUGGGGACUCAUAGGAGACUGCCGGGGUCAACUCGGAGGAAGGUGGGGAUGACGUCAAAUCAUCAUGCCCCUUAUGUCUUGGGCUUCACGCAUGCUACAAUGGCCGGUACAGAGGGUUGCGAUACUGUGAGGUGGAGCUAAUCCCUAAAAGCCGGUCUCAGUUCGGAUUGGGGUCUGCAACUCGACCCCAUGAAGUCGGAGUCGCUAGUAAUCGCAGAUCAGCAACGCUGCGGUGAAUACGUUCCCGGGCCUUGUACACACCGCCCGUCAAGUCACGAAAGUUGGUAACACCCGAA